rnacentral:misc_RNA from 1 species
GAUGAAGAACGUAGUAAAAUGCGAUACUUGGUGUGAAUUGCAGAAUCCCGUGAACCAUCGAGUUUUUGAACGCAAGUUGCGCCCAAAGCCUUUUGGCCGAGGGCACGUCUGCCUGGGCGUCACGCAUCGCGUCGCCCCCCACAAUUCUUCGUAAAGGGAACAUGUGUUUUGGGGGCGGAUAUUGGUCUCCCGUGCUCAUGGCGUGGUUGGCCGAAAUAGGAGUCCUUUCGAUGGACGCACGAACUAGUGGUGGUCGUAAAAACCCUCGUCUUUUGUUUCGUGCUGUUGCUCGCAAGGUAAACUCUUUAAAAACCCCAAUGUGUCGUCUCUUGACGACGCUUCGACCGCGACCCCAGGUCAGGCGGGACUACCCGCUGAGUUUAAGCAUAUCAAUAAGCGGAGGA